UACGAAGGGGGCUAGCGUUGCUCGGAAUCACUGGGCGUAAAGCGCACGUAGGCGGAUUGUUAAGUCAGGGGUGAAAUCCUGGAGCUCAACUCCAGAACUGCCUUUGAUACUGGCGAUCUCGAGUCCGGGAGAGGUGAGUGGAAUUCCGAGUGUAGAGGUGAAAUUCGUAGAUAUUCGCAAGAACACCAGUGGCGAAGGCGGACUCACUGGCCCGGUACUGACGCUGAGGUGCGAAAGCGUGGGGAGCAAACAGGG
rnacentral:rRNA from 1 species